rnacentral:rRNA from 1 species
AGCUAAUAGAUACCCCGGUAGUCCACGCCCUAAACGAUGUCUACUAGUUGUUGGUGGAGUAAAAUCCAUGAGUAAACGCAGCUAAACGCGUGAAGUAGACCGCCUGGGGAGUACGGUCGCAAGAUUAAAACUCAAAGGAAUUGAUGGGGGCCCGCACAAGCGGUGGAUUAUGUGGAUUAAUUCGAUGCAACGCGAAAACCUUACCUGGCCUUGACAUGCCACUAACGAAGCAGAGAUGCAUUAGGUGCCCGUAAGGGAAAGUGGACACAGGUGCUGCAUGGCUGUCGUCAGCUCGUGUCGUGAGAUGUUGGGUUAAGUCCCGCAACGAGCGCAACCCUUGCCAUUAAUUGCCAUCAUUUAGUUGGGCACUUUAAUGGGACUGCCGGUGACAAACCGGAGGAAGGUGGGGAUGACGUCAAGUCCUCAUGGCCCUUAUGGCCAGGGCUUCACACGUAAUACAAAUGGUCGGUACAGAGAGUUGCCAACCCGCGAGGGGAGCUAAUCUCAGAAAGCCGAUCGCAGUCCGGAUUGUUCU